rnacentral:rRNA from 1 species
UACGUAGGAUGCGAGCGUUGUUCGGAUUUAUUGGGCGUAAAGCGUGCGUAGGCGGUUACAAAAGUCUGGUGUUAAAGCUAGGGGCUCAACCCCUGUGAUGCACUGGAUACUGUGUGACUUGAGUGCGGUAGGGGAAGGUGGAAUUCCGAGUGUAGCGGUGAAAUGCGUAGAUAUUCGGAAGAACACCGGUGGCGAAGGCGACCUUCUGGGCCGCAACUGACG